AACUUGACAAAAUGAAGAGAGCGUGUACAAAAUGUAUAUAGGAAAGAGAAAGUGUGCGUGAUGCUGCGAGCAGGUUGGAAAACAGGUUGUAGUAGCCGCUAAACUGUGUGAAGGCCAGAGUUCAUUGACCCGCAUGACCGCAGUUCAAACGGAGAUAUAAACAAAAGCCAUGCCAACAGACGACUUCCUGCAACACGAGGAGACGAGAUAUGCCAUUUUUCUGUGGGGUCUUUUGUGAACCCCCUGCCUCCUUGUGUGCUGUAACAGAGGACUGAUUUAUAGUUUUAUGACUGACGCCCUUCAUGACGCGACCAUCUGUAUUUACUGAGGCUUGGGACAGGCACAAAGGUGUGUUGGCAACCUUUCAUUGAAGAAUAACUUCUACCCCCUUUCAAACAAACAAAUG
rnacentral:lncRNA from 1 species